rnacentral:rRNA from 1 species
CCCUUAUAAUAAUAAAGAAAGUUAAAUUUCGCUCUUAGAAGUUAGUAUCUCGUGCAUGGUAGUAGUUAAGAUUAAAAGCCUAACUAGCUAUAUGCACGUAGUCGUAACUGAAAGGUUGAUCGACCACAGUGGACCUGAAUAAAGUCCAUGACGAUUGUUACAGCAGUGAGGAAUAUUGGUCAAUAGCCUAACGGCUGAACCAGCAACUUGGAGGAAUGUAUAGCAAUAGCUACUUAAUUAUGAUAAUGACAUUGUCUGCCUAUGUGUCUUGACCAAAUUACGUGCCAGCAGUCGCGGUAAUACGUAGAAGACUAGUGUUAUUCAUGUUUAAUCGGUUUAAAGGGUACCUAUCUCUUUUUAUUCAGAUUAUGGAUAUUUUACUCAGAAGAAAAUUAAUAAAGAGGCAAUAAGAUAUAUCUACAAGCGUUGCACGGCUGUCUUCAGUUAAUGUCGCGAGACUUUGGUUAGUUCCAUUAAAUUAACGUAAACCCUUACUUUAUUUUUAUAUAGAGUAGUUCCCCGCUAUAUUGGAUAU